rnacentral:rRNA from 1 species
AUUGAACGCUGGCGGCAUGCUUUACACAUGCAAGUCGAACGGCAGCGCGGGCUUCGGCCUGGCGGCGAGUGGCGAACGGGUGAGUAAUGCAUCGGAACGUGCCCAGUAGUGGGGGAUAGCGCGGCGAAAGCCGGAUUAAUACCGCAUACGACCUGAGGGUGAAAGCGGGGGACCGAAAGGCCUCGCGCUAUCGGAGCGGCCGAGGUCGGAUUAGCUAGUUGGUGGGGUAAAGGCUUACCAAGGCGACGAUCCGUAGCUGGUCUGAGAGGACGACCAGCCACACUGGGACUGAGACACGGCCCAGACUCCUACGGGAGGCAGCAGUGGGGAAUUUUGGACAAUGGGGGCAACCCUGAUCCAGCCAUGCCGCGUGCGGGAAGAAGGCCUUCGGGUUGUAAACCGCUUUUGUUCGGGAAGAAAUCCUCUGGGCUAAUACCCCGGGGGGAUGACGGUACCGGAAGAAUAAGCACCGGCUAACUACGUG